rnacentral:rRNA from 1 species
GAUGAACGCUGGCGGCGUGCCUAAUACAUGCCAGUCGAGCGAACAGACGAGGAGCUUGCUCCUCUGACGUUAGCGGCGGACGGGUGAGUAACACGUGGAUAACCUACCUAUAAGACUGGGAUAACUUCGGGAAACCGGAGCUAAUACCGGAUAAUAUAUCGAACCGCAUGGUUCAAUAGUGAAAGACGGUUUUGCUGUCACUUAUAGAUGGAUCCGCGCCGCAUUAGCUAGUUGGUAAGGUAACGGCUUACCAAGGCAACGAUGCGUAGCCGACCUGAGAGGGUGAUCGGCCACACUGGAACUGAGACACGGUCCAGACUCCUACGGGAGGCAGCAGUAGGGAAUCUUCCGCAAUGGGCGAAAGCCUGACGGAGCAACGCCGCGUGAGUGAUGAAGGUCUUCGGAUCGUAAAACUCUGUUAUUAGGGAAGAACAAAUGUGUAAGUAACUAUGCACGUCUUGACGGUACCUAAUCAGAAAGCCACGGCUAACUACGUG